rnacentral:rRNA from 1 species
CAGUCGAGCGAGGUAGAAUACCUAGCGGCGGACGGGUGAGUAACGCGUGAGCAAUCUGCCUACAUCAUCGGGAUACCACGUAGAAAUAUGUGCUAAUACCGAAUAAGACCACACCGAGGCAUCUCGGAGAGGUAAAAGUGAUUUAGCGGAUGUAGAUGAGCUCGCGUCCCAUUAGCUAGAUGGUGAGGUAACGGCCCACCAUGGCGACGAUGGGUAGCCGACCUGAGAGGGUGAUCGGCCACAUUGGAACUGAGAUACGGUCCAGACUCCUACGGGAGGCAGCAGUGGGGAAUAUUGGGCAAUGGGCGAAAGCCUGACCCAGCAACGCCGCGUGAAGGAUGAAGGUUUUCGGAUUGUAAACUUCUGUCGCAGGGGACGAAGAAUGACGGUACCCUGUAAGAAAGCCCCGGCUAACUACGUGCCAGCAGCCGCGGUAAUACGUAGGGGGCGAGCGUUGUCCGGAAUGACUGGGCGUAAAGGGAGUGUAGGUGGCACAGCAAGUUAUAUGUGAAAGCCCGUGGCUCAACCACGGAACUGCAUAUAAAACUACUGAGCUAGAGUGCAGGAGAGGUAAGCGGAAUUCCUAGUGUAGCGGUGGAAUGCGUAGAUAUUAGGAGGAACACCAGAGGCGAAGGCGGCUUACUGGACUGUAACUGACACUGA